CCUUCCGUAGGUGAACCUGCGGAAGGAUCAUUACCUAGAGUUGUAGGCUUUGCCUGCUAUCUCUUACCCAUGUCUUUUGAGUACCUUCGUUUCCUCGGCGGGUUCGCCCGCCGAUUGGACAAUUUAAACCAUUUGCAGUUGCAAUCAGCGUCUGAAAAAACAUAAUAGUUACAACUUUCAACAACGGAUCUCUUGGUUCUGGCAUCGAUGAAGAACGCAGCGAAAUGCGAUAAGUAGUGUGAAUUGCAGAAUUCAGUGAAUCAUCGAAUCUUUGAACGCACAUUGCGCCCCUUGGUAUUCCAUGGGGCAUGCCUGUUCGAGCGUCAUUUGUACCUUCAAGCUCUGCUUGGUGUUGGGUGUUUGUCUCGCCUCUGCGCGUAGACUCGCCUCAAAACAAUUGGCAGCCGGCGUAUUGAUUUCGGAGCGCAGUACAUCUCGCGCUUUGCAUUCAGAACGACGACGUCCAAAAGUACAUUUUUACACUCUUGACCUCGGAUCAGGUAGGGAUACAAGUUGAACUUGCA
rnacentral:rRNA from 1 species